UUGGCGGGGGUAAAAGCCCACCAAGGCUAAGACGGGUAGCUGGUCUGAGAGGAUGAUCAGCCACACUGGAACUGAGACACGGUCCAGACUCCUACGGGAGGCAGCAGUGGGGAAUCUUGCGCAAUGGCGAAAGCCUGACGCAGCAACGCCGCGUGGGUGAUGAAGGUCUUCGGAUCGUAAAGCCCUGUCGAAGGGGGAAGAUGUGUCUCUGGUCGAACAGGCCAGGGAUGUGACGGUACCCUUAAAGGAAGCACCGGCUAACUCUGUGCCAGCAGCCGCGGUAA
rnacentral:rRNA from 1 species